UGGGGAAUAUUGGACAAUGGGCGCAAGCCUGAUCCAGCAAUGCCGCGUGUGUGAAGAAGGCCUGCGGGUUGUAAAGCACUUUCGGUGGGGAAGAAAAGCCUCUGGUGAAGAGCUGGGGGUUUUGACGUUACUCACAGAAGAAGCACCGGCUAACUCCGUGCCAGCAGCCGCGGUAAUACGGAGGGUGCGAGCGUUAAUCGGAAUCACUGGGCGUAAAGCGCACGUAGGCGGCCGCGUCAGUCACAUGUGAAAGCCCUGGGCUCAACCUGGGAACGGCAUGUGAUACUGCGCGGCUGGAGUUUGAGAGAGGGGGGUGGAAUUCCAGGUGUAGCGGUGAAAUGCGUAGAGAUCUGGAGGAACACCAGUGGCGAAGGCGGCCCCCUGGUUCAAAACUGACGCUGAGGUGCGAAAGCGUGGGGAGCAAACA
rnacentral:rRNA from 1 species